ACUUGGGUAUCUUCUCUCUCAGGCAAGCAGUAUGUUAUCAGUGAGGUCCCAAAUGCCAGAUGUAAUUACCUCACGUGUUUAGAGGGGCGGUGUUAUGUUUUGACGUGUAUGUGCAAGCCUGCUUUCAUGCAGAAGAACAUAUUUGACAUGGGAAGAAUGCUGUGUGGUUCAGAAGUUAGAAACAUUAUUUAAAGUUGUGCACUGGUGUUUUAGAUUUCACAAAAGGCCACAAAGUUUUUAUUUCUACGUUUAUGAUUGAUUAGGGUUAGAGUUUUAAAAGCUUAACGCCGGCUACAAGUGCUUUGUAGUCAGUCACUGAGAAUUAUAGGCUUGGCAUAGUUCACAUUUCUAUUCUUCAGUAUAUCCAUUACUGUUAGAUGCUGAGUAGUCAUUGCACACAGAUGACUGAUUUUUUUAUUUUAUUUUUUUUAUUUUACAGUUCUACACAUGUGGAAAAAUACUUUGUUAAAGCAGCUCCUGGGUGAACGGGGUAAUUAAAGAACUGCGCCGCUUUUAUUGGAGUUGACACAUGCUGCACGUUCCUUAAAACUCACUCAUGGUGUGGAGCACCCUGCCAAGCACACUCUGCUCCUCUGGGCUGCAGUGAGAAGUGGAUGACCGGUGCUGCACACAGCUAAGCACACAGCCUUAUCAGCAAGCGUGCUUUUAGGUUAAAGCACAGCCAUCUCCAUACUGACAGAGAGGAAGUCACAGAGUUACAGCGUUGACCAGCACAGUGGCUGGAGGUGAUUUCUUUUUUUUUUCUCUCCCCCUCCAAGUCUUCUGUUAAAAUAGUGAUAAUUAAAUCAUAGACAACUUUUGCAUGGAAAGCCCAGUAUGGCGAUGUUAUUUAAUAAGAGGUAAGAAAUGCUUUGGCAACAUUGAAUUCUUAGUAGCAUCAUGUAUCAUCUGUGUUUUGUGUGGUUGCAAAAAUGUUGCUCUUACUGCUAUUUGGUUUAAGACCAUCAUGUUUCAUUUCUGUAUUUUGAGACACAUAAACUGUUAAAGCUCUAAGCACUUCUCAGGCAUUACCUCUGACUUGCUAUUAUUGCAUACUAUAAAACAUAAUAAAACACAAUAUUAAAGU
rnacentral:lncRNA from 7 species